AUUGAACGCUGGCGGCGUGCUUAACACAUGCAAGUCGAACGAUGAACUUGGAGCUUGCUCUGGGGGAUUAGUGGCGAACGGGUGAGUAACACGUGAGUAACCUGCCCUGGACUCUGGGAUAACUUCGAGAAAUCGGAGCUAAUACCGGAUAGGACCUUGCACCGCAUGGUGUGGGGUGGAAAGUUUUUCGGUUUGGGAUGGACUCGCGGCCUAUCAGCUUGUUGGUGAGGUAAUGGCUCACCAAGGCGUCGACGGGUAGCCGGCCUGAGAGGGUGACCGGCCACACUGGGACUGAGACACGGCCCAGACUCCUACGGGAGGCAGCAGUGGGGUAUAUUGCACAAUGGGCGCAAGCCUGAUGCAGCAACGCCGCGUGCGGGAUGACGGCCUUCGGGUUGUAAACCGCUUUUAGUAGGGAAGAAGCCUUCGGGUGACGGUACCUGCAGAAAAAGGACCGGCUAACUACGUGCCAGCAGCCGCAGUAACAC
rnacentral:rRNA from 1 species